rnacentral:rRNA from 1 species
UACAGAGGGUGCAAGCGUUAAUCGGAAUUACUGGGCGUAAAGCGUGCGCAGGCGGUUAUAUAAGACAGUCGUGAAAUCCCUGGGCUCAACCUAGGAACUGCGAUUGUGACUGUAUGGCUAGAGUGUGUCAGAGGGGGGUAGAAUUCCACGUGUAGCAGUGAAAUGCGUAGAUAUGCGGAGGAACACCGAUGGCGAAGGCAAUCCCCUGGACCUGUACUGACGCUCAUGCACGAAAGCGUGGGGAGCAAACAGC